AAAGAUAACUUUUAACGGUGGAUCUCUUGGCUCGUGCAUCGAUGAAGAACGCAGCCAGGUGCGAUAAGUAGUGUGAAUUGCAGAACUCAGUGAAUCAUCGAAUCUUUGAACGCAAAUGGCGCUCUCGGGCCUUCCUGGGAGCAUGUCUGUCUGAGUGUCGGUUUCCAAAAACCUUCCC
rnacentral:rRNA from 1 species